rnacentral:lncRNA from 1 species
GCAGUUUUCAUUAUUGUAGCAUUCUAUUACAUCAUAAUGUCUGUUAGGGUAAUUUCCCAACACAAAAAAUCUUACAUGUCAAUGGACUAGUAUUUUCUGCUGCCAGAACACUUGGAAGAAUGGUCCAAUGACCUAGGAAACUAUUUGGAGUUUGAGGAUUUUGUGUCAUUUCCCAAAUGUUGUUACGUAUGAAUCUGUUUCUUUUGCGUGCCCUGGAUUUUUAAGAGGGAAGAAUAUAUGUUGUACACAAUAUACUGGCAGGAUACAGACAUGCUGGUGGCUUCUUACUGAUGAGACAGUUCAUCAGAGCAUCUGCAGGAGAGUGUAACUAACCAGGAAGCUCUGCUUCUGGACUCCUUCUACUGGACUCAGCUUCACAAAAGCCUAAAAGGUCAAAUCAACCUUUACAGGGGAUGGAAGGACGAGUUCUUGCCCGACACUCUGAGACCCUGAAUGGAUCCUUCUGUGGCUGAUUCAACUCAAAUCUGAGGCUCUGGAUUCCCAGCUCUCUCUGCUUGACUGACAUCCCUCCUAGAACCUGUAUCUGCAGCGUUUGUCCAAUCCAGGAAAUUAUGUCUAGAAAACAGCACCUUCCAGCCUGCCUUCUUCACCUGGUGGAAUUAACUGAUCUCUCUUAGGUGUGAUCCCAAGAUAAGAGAGAUGGAGAAGAGAUGUUGUGCAAGCCAGUCUUUUUGCUACUGAUCGAAUCAUUCUGUGCACAGUUAUUUCUUCUACAUGAGAGCUAACAUCUUCAAUUCCUUGAGCUAGGCAAAACUAGAGAGCUGGUUAAAAGCACUUUGAGUGGUCAACAAAACACAAACAAAAACAAAAACAAAAGCACAACCACAAAAGAAUUCUGUAUGAAACAUUAUAAUUUACCCUAAAUUACC